AGAGUUUGAUCCUGGCUCAGGAUGAACGCUGGCGGAGUGCCUUAGGCAUGCAAGUGGAAUGACGUACCAUUACGGUACAUCAUCGCAGACGGGUGAGUACAGCAUAGGAAUCAACCCUUUGGUGGGGAAUAACACCGCGAAAGGNANCAAUACCGCAUAAAAUCGUAAGAUAAAAGGCCAUAACUGGCCGCCGAUGGAGGAGCCUAUGUCCUAUCAGCUAGUUGGUGGGGUAAAAGCCUACCAAGGCGACGACGGGUAGCUGGACUGAGAGGUUGGUCAGCCACAAUAGCACUGAGACACGGGCUAUACAUCUACGGAUGGCAGCAACCGGGAAUAUUGCGCAAUGGACGAAAGUCUGACGCAGCGACUCCGCGUGGAGGAUGACGGCCUUAGGGUUGUAAACUCCUUUUGACAGGGAAUCCUCGCCUUUGGCGGGGGUACGGUACCUGUAGAAUAAGCAUCUACUAACUACGUGCCAGCAGUCGCGGUAAUACGUAGGAUGCGAGCGUUAUUCGGAUUUACUGGGCGUAAAGAGUUCGUAGGCGUUUUGCUAAAGUUUCGUUUGAAAGACCAAGGCUCAACCUUUGGAACGGACGAAAUACUAGCAGAAUUGAGUCGGUUAGGGGUACUGGAAUUGUCAGUGUAGCAGUGAAAUGCGUUGAUAUUGACAAGAACACCAAGGGCGAAGGCAAGUACCUGGACCGCAACUGACGCUCAUUGAACGAAAGCUAGGGGAGCGAAAGGGAUUAGAGACCCCUGUAGUCCUAGCCGUAAACUAUGUACGCUUGAUCCUUGGGCCUUAUGGCUUUGGGGUUGGAGCUAACGCGUGAAGCGUACCGCCUGGGGAGUACGGCCGCAAGGCUAAAACUCAAAGGAAUUGACGGGAGAGCGCACAACCAGGGGAGCAUGUGGUUCAAUUCGAUACGAAGCGAAAAACCUUACCCAGAUUUGACAUUCUACCGUGUUAGUUCUGUAGAAAUACGGAGCGAUUCUUCGAAAGAUGAAAGGUAGAACAGCUGCUGCAUGGCUGUCUUCAGCUCGUGCCGUGGGGUGUCGACUUAAGUGUCGAAACGAGCGCAACCCUUAUCCGAUGUUACUUAAUCUUCGGAAACUGCCGCCGUUGGCGGGGAGGAAGGAGGGGAUGACGUCAAGUCAGCAUGGCGCUUAUAUCUGGGGCUACACACAUCCUACAAUGGGAAGGCACAAUGGGUUGCCAAGCCGUAAGGCGGAGCUAAUCCCUGUAAAAACUUCCCCCAGUUCAGAUUGAGGGCUGCAAUUCGCCCUCAUGAAGCCGGACUUGGUAGUAAUCGCGGAUCAGCAGGCCGCGGUGAAUACGUUCUCGCUCUUUGUACACACCGCCCAUCAAGCCAGCAAAGUCGGCAGGACCUGAGUCUCCGAAUUUUUCGGGGCAAGGGUCAGGUCGGCGAUGAGGGCUAAGUUGUAACAAGGUAUCCCUAGCCGAAGCUGUGGCUG
rnacentral:rRNA from 1 species